rnacentral:lncRNA from 1 species
GAUUUAAGGAAUUUCUUUAUUGGAAUUCCACUUUACCUCGCCACAAGGAGCUGGCUUUCAUGACAAAGAGAGAGUGAGCCCUGAACAAAGUAUUCGUUAACAUUUUACAACAGACAACAUAUACAUGUCCUGCAUGACAUCUUUACAAUAACACAUUCCAAAAACAAUCAAACAUUUAACAGGAUUAUUAAGAAACAUUAAUUUCCUUCUCUCUAGAUGACUGGUACUUUAGCUUUUUAGCUUCUGCAAUAAAAUGCGUUCCUUCUCAGCAUUUCUAUUCAUAGGAAUCCCUGAAUCACUUCUGUCAUGUAAGGUGCGAAUUCAUGUUGACGGUGUGUUCCAUUAGUUACUGAAUGUGUCAAAAUCCUCUCCACGGUAGAACCUUUUAUUGUAGCAUAAUGUGUGAAUACCACUUCCAGGUUAUCCCUCAUCACAAAUUCAUCAUUCAUUAUGGGAGUUCAUCUGAAACUUUAAAAAAGUUUCAUCCAUUCAACUAAUGUAUCACAAUAGUACGUUCAUCAAUUUGCAUUUUUUAUGAGUGACUCUCUCCUAUCUCCUGUUAGACUUGUAAGUCUAUGCUUUCUACUUUUCCUAAAAGGAAAUCCAAAUUUUGUUUCAGAAGUCAUCAUCACUGCCCCCUCCCAAACCAAUUACAUCAAGUUUAUACUUAAAGACCACUAAUAUUAAAUAAAUUUAUAUUCCCUGAAACCUAUCCUCCCUGAAUUUGCCUGUUGGAGGCCCUUAGUUUUCCCACUGACCAAUGUGUAAUUGGGAUUCAAAGCUAUACCUGAAUUUCCUACAUUUCUAGUAACAGAAUUUACCAAACAUGAACUUUCUGAUGGUGAUUACGUAACUUCUAAUUGAAGCCCUUUCCUCAUCUGUGUUUUAUGUCCAGAAAUGUCUACUGAUUUUGAAGAUUUGCUUCACAUUCCAUCACUCAGAUCUAAGUUUUUCUCUCAAGUAUGGACUGUUUUAUAUCCUGUAAGAGCUGAACUACCUUGACACUGGAGCCUUUCUUGCUUGCUAUGAUUGAAAAUCACAUAGAAAGGAUUCCUCAUAAUCCUCUAGGAUGGUUUCAUUUACACUGUGUAAAUUACAAGCCAUGACCCCCUACAUUCUUACAUUCAUAAGGUAUUUCUUCCAUUUGAGUUCGGAGAGACUUGGUAAGCUCUGCCUGCUACAGAGGCAUCCUCAUCCUGCCCCCAUCCAGGGCAUUCCCUCCCUCAUAGGUUCUCUUCUGGGAUGUGCCACUAUAACUUCCCACAUAUAUCACAUUUAAAGAUUCCUCUCCAGUAUGGGUUCUUUUAUGCUUGGUGAGAUUUGAUCUGAUAUUAAAAGCCUUACCACACUCAUUACAUCGGUAUGGCUUCUUUCCAGUGUGGAUCCUUUUGUGCUGGUCAAGGACUGAUCUAUAAUUGAAGGAUUUCCCACACUCACAAUUAUAGGGCUGCUUCCCCUGGUGGACACUUUUAUGAUUGAUAAGACUUGAGUGUGAGAUGUAUGCCUUCCCACACUCAUCACAUUCAUAGGGUUUCUCACCUGUGUGGAUCCUUUUAUGCACUGUGAGGCCUGAGCUGUUCCUGAAGGCCUUCCCACACCUAUCACACACAUAGGGUUUCUCCCCUGUGUGGAUCCUCUUGUGCUGAGAAAGGAGAGAGCUGUAACUGAAAGAUUUCCCACACUCAACACACUUGAAGGGUUUCUCCCCAAGAUGGACUCUUUUAUGGCUUAUAAGAGUUCUGCUUGAGAAAAAAGCUUUUCCACAUUCAUCACAUGUAUGGGGUGUCCUGCCAGGGUGGGUACUCUUAUGGUUAAUAAGGCUUGAGUGUGAGAUGUAGGCUUUUCCACACACAUCACAUUCAUAGGGCCUCUCCCCAGUAUGGAUUCUUUUAUGAACUUUAAGGCUUGAGUUGUUUCUGAAGACCUUCUCACACCUGUCACAUUCAUAGGGUUUCUCUCUAGUGUGGACCCUUCUGUGCUGAGAAAGGAGCGAUGUGUAAUUAAAAGAUUUCUCACACACAUCACAUUUGUAGGGCUUCUCCCCAAGAUGAACUUUUUUGUGGUUUGUAAGGGUUCGGUAUGUGAUGAAGGCCUUCUCACACUCGUCACACUUAAAGGGCUUCUCCCCAGGGUGUACACUUUUAUGAUUUAUAAGGCUCGAGAGAGAGAUGUAUGCUUUCCCACAUUCUUCACAUUUGUAAGGUCGUUCCCCAGUGUGGAUUCGUUUAUGUACUUUAAGGCCAGAAUUAUUUCUGAAAGCUUUACCACACUCAUCACACCCAAAGGGUUUUUCCCUGGUAUGAAUCCUUUUAUGCUGUUCAAGGGCAGAGCUGUACUAUAGCUGAAUGCUUUGCCACAGACAUCACACUUGUAAGGUUUCUCUCCUGUGUGGAUCCUUUUAUGCACUAUGAGGCCUGAGCUGUUCCUGAAAGCCUUCCCACAUUCAUCACAUUCAUAAGGGCUUCUCCCCAGUGUGGAUCCGUUUGUGGACCCGAAGGCUCGAGCUGCUCCGGAAAGUCCCUCCACAGUCAUCACAUUCAUAGCGCUUUUCCCCAGUGUGCAUAAUUUUAUGUUGAACAAGGCGGGAAUUAUAUUUGAAGGAUUUCCCACAUUCAUCACAUUUAUGUAAUUUCUUAACAGCAUUGGUUUUCUGCUGUAGACUAGGGUAGGAG